AACGCUAGCUACAGGCUUAACACAUGCAAGUCGAGGGGCAGCAUGGUCUUAGCUUGCUAAGGCCGAUGGCGACCGGCGCACGGGUGAGUAACGCGUAUCCAACCUGCCUUACACUCUUGGACAGCCUUCUGAAAGGGAGAUUAAUACAAGAUGUUAUCAUGAGUAAGCAUUUUCGCAUGAUUAAAGGUUUACCGGUGUAAGAUGGGGAUGCGUUCCAUUAGAUAGUAGGCGGGGUAACGGCCCACCUAGUCUUCGAUGGAUAGGGGUUCUGAGAGGAAGGUCCCCCACAUUGGAACUGAGACACGGUCCAAACUCCUACGGGAGGCAGCAGUGAGGAAUAUUGGUCAAUGGACGAGAGUCUGAACCAGCCAAGUAGCGUGAAGGAUGAAGGUUCUAUGGAUUGUAAACUUCUUUUAUACGGGAAUAAACGAAUCCACGUGUGGGGUUUUUGCAUGUACCGUAUGAAUAAGGAUCGGCUAACUCCGUGCCAGCAGCCGCGGUAAUACGGAGGAUCCGAGCGUUAUCCGGAUUUAUUGGGUUUAAAGGGAGCGUAGAUGGGUUGUUAAGUCAGUUGUGAAAGUUUGCGGCUCAACCGUAAAAUUGCAAUUGAUACUGGCAGUCUUGAGUACAGUUGAGGUAGGCGGAAUUCGUGGUGUAGCGGUGAAAUGCUUAGAUAUCACGAAGAACUCCGAUUG
rnacentral:rRNA from 1 species